AGUGAUUCUGAAGAAUCAAUCUGGUUUAGCCCUAAGGUCAAGAAGCUGCAGAAGACAAAAUUGUUGGAGUUCUGGAACAUUUUCCUGAAGUAUGGGAAACCUGGUCUCCAGGCAGACCUGGAAGCUCUCCAGAAGGAGAAAGCUGAGGAAGGUCAAUGGAGAUCUCUGUGUGGUU